AACGCGAAGAACCUUACCGGGUCUUGACAUCCACGGAAGUUUUCAGAGAUGAGAAUGUGCCUUCGGGAACCGUGAGACAGGUGCUGCAUGGCUGUCGUCAGCUCGUGUUGUGAAAUGUUGGGUUAAGUCCCGCAACGAGCGCAACCCUUAUCCUUUGUUGCCAGCGGUCCGGCCGGGAACUCAAAGGAGACUGCCAGUGAUAAACUGGAGGAAGGUGGGGAUGACGUCAAGUCAUCAUGGCCCUUACGACCAGGGCUACACACGUGCUACAAUGGCGCAUACAAAGAGAAGCGACCUCGCGAGAGCAAGCGGACCUCAUAAAGUGCGUCGUAGUCCGGAUUGGAGUCUGCAACUCGACUCCAUGCAGUCGGAAUCGCUAGUAAUCGUGGAUCAGAAUGCCACGGUGAAUACGUUCCCGGGUCUUGUACACACGC
rnacentral:rRNA from 1 species